UACAGAGGUCUCAAGCGUUGUUCGGAUUCAUUGGGCGUAAAGGGUGCGUAGGUGGCGUCGUAAGUCGGGUGUGAAAUUUCGGAGCUUAACUCCGAAACUGCAUUCGAUACUGCGGUGCUUGAGGACUGGAGAGGAGACUGGAAUUUACGGUGUAGCAGUGAAAUGCGUAGAGAUCGUAAGGAAGACCAGUGGCGAAGGCGGGUCUCUGGACAGUUCCUGACACUGAGGCACGAAGGCCAGGGGAGCAAAACGG
rnacentral:rRNA from 1 species